UCAUCCACCGGGCAUGGUGGUGCACACCAGUCAUCCCAGCCCCUCAGGAGGCUGAGGCAGGAGG
rnacentral:miRNA from 1 species